UAACCUGCCUUGGAUGGGAAUACAGUUGAACAGCUGCUAUACGCAUAAUAUGUCUGUGUCGCAUGGCACUGGGCAUCAAAGAUUUAUCGCUCUGAGAUGGACUCGCGUCUGAUUAGCUAGUUGGCGGGGUAACGGCCCACCAAGGCGACGAUCAGUAGCCGGACUGAGAGGUUGGCCGGCCACAUUGGGACUGAGACACGGCCCAGACUCCUACGGAAGGCAGCAG
rnacentral:rRNA from 1 species